AUGUGCCUUUUUCUUAAUAAGACACUGAAACCUGUGUGGACGUGCACUGCCGCCGCCAGCACAACGAGCCCUGCACGUGCCCUGAGCUCGCGGCCCACUGCGCUGCCCGAGCAGCAGCGAGCAGGAGGACCGGCGGGGCACGUGAGCCCCCUUGCACCCCCGAGCACCCCCACACCCACAGCGACCUUGCAGCCUGCCGCCAAGGGCAGCGCGCAGGGCUGCCACAGCCGCCAGCGCCGCCGCGGCCGGCCACCUUCAGCACAGCCCUCACCCGAGACGCGCAGCACCGUGCACACCGCGUGCAGCACCAUGUGCACCGUGCAGCACCGCGCAGCUGUCACCCGAGACGUGCAGCACCGUGCACACCGCGUGCAGCACCAUGUGCACCGUGCAGCACCGUGCAGCUGUCACCCGAGACGCGCAGCAUCGUGCACACCACGUGCAGCACCAUGUGCACCACGCAGCACCGCGCAGCUGUCACCCGAGACACGCAGCACCACAUGCAGCACUGCGUGCACACCGCGUGUAGCACCAUGUGCACCGUGCAGCACCGUGCAGCUGUCACCCAAGACGUGCAGCACUGUGCACACCGCGUGCAGCACCAUGUGCACCGCACAGCACCAUGCAGCUGUCACCCAAGACGUGCAGCACCGCAUGCAGCACUGCAUGCACACUGCGUGCAGCACCAUGUGCACCGUGCAGCACCGUGCAGCUGUCACCCGAGACGCGCAGCACCGUGCACACUGCACGCAGCACCAUGUGCACUGCGCAGCACCACGCAGCUGUCACCCAAGACGCGCAGCACCGUGCACACUGUGUGCAGCACCAUCUGCACCGCGCAGCACCACGCAGCUGUCACCCAAGACGCGCAGCACUGUGCACACCGUGUGCAGCACCAUGUGCACCGCACAGCACCGUGCAGCUGUCACCCGAGACGCGCAGCACCGUGCACCCUGCACGCAGCACCAUGUGCACUGCGCAGCACCACGCAGCUGUCACCCAAGACGCGCAGCACUGUGCACGCCGUGUGCAGCACCAUGUGCACUGCGCAGCACCACGCAGCUGUCACCCAAGACGCGCAGCACUGUGCACACCGUGUGCAGCACCAUCUGCACCGCACAGCACCACGCAGCUGUCCCCCGAGACACGCUGCACCGUGCAGCACCGCACGCACCCCGCACUGGCCACACACCUCCUACGGGCCCCCCGGGGACCCCCCUUGCCUGCCCUGUCGCUCUGGGUGCUGGCGGCCUGCACCAGGCCAUGCACGGGGCUUGCUCGAGGGCCGUGCCCAGGACCUGCCCCCGGCCGUGCCCCGUGCUGCAGCCGAGCCGCGGCCCGGCCCAGGCCGUAGCGGCAGCCUGGCACCCCGGCGGCGCCCAGUCCCACAGCCAGGCCGUGCCCACCUCCGCGCGCACA
rnacentral:lncRNA from 1 species